AGAGUUUGAUCAUGGCUCAGGAUGAACGCUGGCGGCGUGCUUAACACAUGCAAGUCGAACGAACCUUCGGGUUAGUGGCGGACGGGUGAGUAACGCGUGGGAAUCUGCCCUCAGGAGGGGGAUAACGGUUGGAAACGGCCGCUAAUACCCCAUAUGCCGAGAGGUGAAAUGAAUUUCGCCUGAGGAUGAGCCCGCGUCUGAUUAGCUAGUUGGUGAGGUAAGAGCUCACCAAGGCAUCGAUCAGUAGCUGGUCUGAGAGGAUGAUCAGCCACACUGGGACUGAGACACGGCCCAGACUCCUACGGGAGGCAGCAGUGGGGAAUUUUCCGCAAUGGGCGAAAGCCUGACGGAGCAACGCCGCGUGAGGGAUGAAGGCCUCUGGGCUGUAAACCUCUUUUAUCAAGGAAGAAGAUCUGACGGUACUUGAUGAAUAAGCCACGGCUAAUUCCGUGCCAGCAGCCGCGGUAAUACGGGAGUGGCAAGCGUUAUCCGGAAUUAUUGGGCGUAAAGCGUCCGCAGGCGGCCCUUCAAGUCUGCUGUUAAAAAGUGGAGCUUAACUCCAUCAUGGCAGUGGAAACUGUUGGGCUUGAGUGUGGUAGGGGCAGAGGGAAUUCCCGGUGUAGCGGUGAAAUGCGUAGAUAUCGGGAAGAACACCAGUGGCGAAAGGCGCUCUGCUGGGCCAUCACUGACGCUCAUGGACGAAAAGCCAGGGGAGCGAAAGGGAUUAGAUACCCCUGUAGUCCUGGCCGUAAACGAUGAACACUAGGUGUCGGGGGGAAUCGACCCCUCCGGUGUCGUAGCCAACGCGUUAAGUGUUCCGCCUGGGGAGUACGCACGCAAGUGUGAAACUCAAAGGAAUUGACGGGGGCCCGCACAAGCGGUGGAGUAUGUGGUUUAAUUCGAUGCAACGCGAAGAACCUUACCAGGGUUUGACAUCCUGCGAAUCUCUUGGAAACUUGAGAGUGCCUUCGGGAGCGCAGUGACAGGUGGUGCAUGGCUGUCGUCAGCUCGUGUCGUGAGAUGUUGGGUUAAGUCCCGCAACGAGCGCAACCCACGUCUUUAGUUGCCAGCAUUUAGUUGGGCACUCUAGAGAGACCGCCGGUGAUAAACCGGAGGAAGGUGUGGAUGACGUCAAGUCAUCAUGCCCCUUACAUCCUGGGCUACACACGUACUACAAUGCUACGGACAAAGGGCAGCAAGUUCGCGAGGACAAGCAAAUCCCAUAAACCGUGGCUCAGUUCAGAUCGUAGGCUGCAACUCGCCUACGUGAAGGAGGAAUCGCUAGUAAUCGCAGGUCAGCAUACUGCGGUGAAUACGUUCCCGGGCCUUGUACACACCGCCCGUCACACCAUGGAAGUUGGCCACGCCCGAAGCCGUUACUCCAACCCUUGUGGAGGAGGACGUCGAAGGUGGGGCUGAUGAC
rnacentral:rRNA from 1 species